AACGAACGCUGGCGGCAGGCUUAACACAUGCAAGUCGAACGCCCCGCAAGGGGAGUGGCAGACGGGUGAGUAACACGUGGGAACGUGCCCUAAGGUUUGGAAUAUUCCCGGGAAACUGGGAGCAAUACCAAAUGUGUCCGUAAGGAGAAAGAUUUAUCGCCUUAGGAUCGGCCCGCGUCAGAUUAGGUAGUUGGUGGGGUAAUGGCCUACCAAGCCGACGAUCUGUAGCUGGUCUGAGAGGACGACCAGCCACACUGGGACUGAGACACGGCCCAGACUCCUACGGGAGGCAGCAGUGGGGAAUCUUGGACAAUGGGCGAAAGCCUGAUCCAGCCAUGCCGCGUGGAUGAUGAAGGCCCUAGGGUUGUAAAAUCCUUUCGUUGGGGACGAUAAUGACGGUACCCAAAGAAGAAGCUCCGGCUAACUUCGUGCCAGCCGCCGCAGUAACAC
rnacentral:rRNA from 1 species